rnacentral:rRNA from 1 species
UACGAAGGGGGCUAGCGUUGCUCGGAAUCACUGGGCGUAAAGCGCACGUAGGCGGAUUGUUAAGUCAGGGGUGAAAUCCUGGAGCUCAACUCCAGAACUGCCUUUGAUACUGGCGAUCUCGAGUCCGGGAGAGGUGAGUGGAACUGCGAGUGUAGAGGUGAAAUUCGUAGAUAUUCGCAAGAACACCAGUGGCGAAGGCGGCUCACUGGCCCGGUACUGACGCUGAGGUGCGAAAGCGUGGGGAGCAAACAGU